AAGCGUUGAAGUAAGGGAGUGUGCCGAUAGGCAUUGCCUUAUGGAGCUUUCAGGAGGGGUUGUGUAGCGAUACCUCAAAUCGGCUCAGGCUGCAAAGCUGAAAGAAAAUACUCCGA
rnacentral:sRNA from 24 species